GAAUGAACGCUGGCGGCGCGCCUAAUACAUGCAAGUCGAGCGGAGAAGACGUAGCAAAUACGUUUGUAAAGCGGCGAACGGGUGAGGAAUACAUGGGUAACCUACCCUCGAGUGGGGAAUAACUAGCCGAAAGGUUAGCUAAUACCCGCGUACGCUUCUUGGACUUCGGUUCAGGGAGGAAAGCGAUGCCGAGGGUAUCGCGCUCUUGGAUGGGCUCAUGUCCUAUCAGCUUGNGGUGAGGUAACGGCUCACCAAGGCUUCGACGGGUAGCUGGUCUGAGAGGACGAUCAGCCACACUGGGCACUGCGACACGGGGCCAGACUCCUACGGGAGGCAGCAGUAAGGAAUAUUGCGCAGUGGGCGAAAGCCUGACGCAGCGACGCCGCGUGGGGGAUGAAGGUCUUCGGAUUGUAAACCCCCUUUCGGGAGGGAAGAUGGAAUGGGGUAACCCAUUCGGACGGUACCUCCAGAAGCAGCCACGGCUAACUUCGUGCCAGCCCGCCG
rnacentral:rRNA from 1 species